GAUGAACGCUGGCGGCAUGCCUAAUACAUGCAAGUCGAACGAGAGGAAGGAAAGCUUGCUUUUCUGAAUCUAGCGGCGAACGGGUGAGUAACACGUAGGUAACCUGCCCAUGUGCCCGGGAUAACUUCUGGAAACGGAUGCUAAAACCGGAUAGGUAGCAGACAAGCAUUUGACUGCUAUUAAAGUGGCUAAGGCCAUGAACAUGGAUGGACCUGCGGUGCAUUAGCUAGUUGGUGAGGUAACGGCCCACCAAGGCGACGAUGCAUAGCCGGCCUGAGAGGGCGGACGGCCACAUUGGGACUGAGACACGGCCCAAACUCCUACGGGAGGCAGCAGUAGGGAAUUUUCGUCAAUGGGGGGAACCCUGAACGAGCAAUGCCGCGUGAGUGAGGAAGGUCUUCGGAUCGUAAAGCUCUGUUGUAAGAGAAAAACGACAUUCAUAGGGAAUGAUGAGUGAGUGAUGGUAUCUUACCAGAAAGUCACGGCUAACUACGUGCCAGCAGCCGCCGUAAUAC
rnacentral:rRNA from 1 species